AUUCCAGCUCCAAUAGCGUAUAUUAAAGUUGUUGCAGUUAGAAAGCUCGUAGUUGGAUUUCGGAUGGGAUUUGCCGGUCCGCCGUUCCGGUGUGCACUGGCCAGUCUCAUCUUGUUGUUGGGGACUAGCUCCUGGGCUUCACUGUCCGGGACUAGGAGCUGACGAGGUUACUUUGAGUAAAUUAGAGUGUUCAAAGCAAGCCUACGCUCUGAAUACAUUAGCAUGGAAUAACAUGAUAGGACUCUGGCUUAUCUUGUUGGUCUGUGAGACCAGAGUAAUGAUUAAGAGGGACAGUCGGGGACAUUCGUAUUUCAUUGUCAGAGGUGAAAUUCUUGGAUUUAUGAAAGACGAACUUCUGCGAGAGCAUUUGUCAAGGAUGUUUUCAUUA
rnacentral:rRNA from 1 species